rnacentral:rRNA from 1 species
AUUGAACGCUGGCGGCAGGCCUAACACAUGCAAGUCGAACGAGUGGCGGACGGGUGAGUAAUGUCUGGGAAACUGCCCGAUGGAGGGGGAUAACUACUGGAAACGGUAGCUAAUACCGCAUACCAUCAGAUGUGCCCAGAUGGGAUUAGCUGGUAGGUGGGGUAAUGGCUCACCUAGGCGACGAUCCCUAGCUGGUCUGAGAGGAUGAUCAGCCACACUGGAGCUGAGACAAGGUCCAGACUCCUACGUGAGGCAGCGGUGGGGAAUAUUGCACAAUGGGCGCAAGCCUGAUGCGGCCAUGCCGCGUGUGUGAAGAAGGCCUUCGGGUUGUAAAGCACUUUCAGCGGGGAGGCGUUACCCGCAGAAGAAGCACCGGCUAACUCCGUGCCAGCAGCCGCGGUAAUAC